ensembl:lncRNA
GUCCAUUUCAAAUCUUUAUAGAAAAAUGUAGAUCGUGCAGACAACAGUUCACAAAAUCGAUAUACUUUCUUCAAAAACAGGAACAAAUGCUUGUAUAUAAUUGUUGACCCAGAUUUCAUACACACAUUUUGGACUUAAUUGCGUUCUUUGAAAACACAGCAAAACUGGGUGUGAGAAACCACAUGGACAAUAUAACUGAGAAAGGUGAAAGUAAAACUGCAAAAAAUAAAAACGUAUUUAAAUAAAACAAAGCAACAACAUGAACACCGUUUAAAGCAUUUCCAAAAAGGAAGUAAAACAAUAUUUUAAAGCAGAUGCCAGGAUUACAUUCUUGUCCAGCAGGGGGAAAAUAUAUAAAGCACUUUGGUCGUUUUCAAACAAGAUGAUUAUGCUAGCCUUUGUAUGUUGUCACGGUUACUAACGAACUACAAACUGAAUGUCUUCGUAAUAUGUUGGACGUUUGUUUGCAACCCAAAAAUUCAAUCCUUGCAUUUAGAUUUAUCCAUGAGUUUUGUAACAUGGUACCCCGAUAGUGAUUACGUAGUGCUAGCCUACUGCUAGCAUACUUCGGAGAACAAACACACAAACACUUCGUCAGCAAAAGGACAAAAAAAGGACAAAAACGAAAUCCAAAGCCCUCUUGCUAAUGUAAACAGCAACAGUGACAUAUUUACAUUAAAUGCAACCUUUUUACGACCUUUUUCAUAUAUUUAAAGUGCACAUCUCAAUUCCAACGUAGGAAUUCCUCACCUCUGCAUAGACUAUCAACUAAAAGGAUGCGGGGGGCUUUUGUAAUUGGGUCUACCGGUAAAUGGGUAACAGUAAUGUGUUGUCACUUGUACAACACUAGAUGUGUAUCUUCUAAAUCUCACUCAAAACCUGCUAAAAAAAAUGUGUGACCCAAUAAAACUUGUCCUUCAAGUUUAGCUUAUUCAUGAAAUCAACUGCUGGUUCUCGUGUUUCUUAUUGGUUUGAACUCUAAACAAGCAGGCUAUAAUUGGUUAAUUACAGACAAAACAAAAAUAAGCAUGCCUCUUUUCGCAGCUCCUGAAACAUAAAAAUAUAAAAAUAAUUGACCAUCAGGCUGAGAACGUUAACCAUCAUAGACAAGAACAUCCAUAUUGAUCAGAACUAGAAUAGGAAUACUUUUUGUUUCUGUGUCCAAAAACCUAAAUGCGAAACUAAGUUUGAAAUAAACCCUAGUUCUUUAAAACACUGAGUGGGUAAAUAAAUAAUGAAUUGCACCAACAUCAAAAUAAAUUCAACGUUGAAAAGACAAAAGAAAUGGGAAACAUCAGACGCCGUCACCGGCGAGCCGACAGAAGCCCACGCCCUCCGGCCGUCUCACCAGACCGGUUCAGACCGGUCUGGACCGCCCCGCGCCCCGGUCGAGACGGAGGGACCACCCCCGUCUGUCCGUCUGUCCGUCCUCAUUGUCACGACUUGAUCUUCCAGAGCUGAGGACAAACACAACAACGC